GAAGACAAACUGAUGUGAGGAUGAGGAGGAGUCAGAAAUAAACUCAUUCAACUAAUACUUGAGUAGCUACUGUUGCCUACAGUAUGUUCAAGGUUUUGCUAGUCAUCCAUAUGAUCACUAUUGACAGCUUGGGAGACUCACACAGGCUAGUGAAUUUCAGGAAUUAACAGAAACUGAACAGCUUCUAUAAUCCUGCAGGAAGUAACCUCUGGAUGGCACAGGCUGGUGUGUGCUACUGUAUAUUUUAGCUUCCAUCUUUUCAUCAUUUACUCACAAGGCAACCCAUCAUCUAAAAUAAUACAAUUAAGCAAAGGCUCAGCCGAAGAGUGAAUAUCCCUGUAUGGGAACACUGGAAAACUGGCCAGCAAGAUUUCCCCAGAGAUGGAUAAAUCCAGCCUUAUUUUGCUACUCCAAUGUCAUCUGCACCUAUCACCUCAGAAUUCAUUCUUUUUUUUUUUAAAAAAAAAAAGGCCUGAGGAAAGGAAAGAAUGGUCUCCCUCACACAGAUAGGCCAGAAUACUCGCAUGGUAUAAGGAUGCGCAAGUUUAGCACUUGGACACUACACAUUGAUGUCUGAAGUCCGGUGAUUCUAAGGCCAUGAAGACGGCUUCUGAAUUGCCACCCUCACUGAGUCUUUAAUUUGACGGACGAUUUGGCAUGUUUUCAAAGCCCAGAGGAACGUCAUUGCCAAGACACCACUCUCCUGACUCCACACAGCUGAUCUCAGCUUCGCAUCAUUUCAUUUGAUCUUCUUACUUCCUCAAGUUACCGAGAGACAAACUGUUUUUAGAAGAAUUAAUUUACAUUAAGGGGUUAAAUCCUGGGUAUAUUCUCAGGAAUGAUUACUGGGUCAUACAGUCGUUCUGUUUUUAGUUUUUGAGGAACUUCCAGACUAUUUUCCGUAAUAGACAUACUAAUUUACAUUCUCA